rnacentral:rRNA from 1 species
UACAGAGGGGGCAAGCGUUAUUCGGAAUUAUUGGGCGUAAAGGGCGCGUAGGCGGCCUGGCAAGUGGAAGGUGAAAUCCCUCGGCUUAACCGAGGAACUGCCCUCCAAACUGCUUGGCUUGAGUCCGGGAGAGGUGAGUGGAAUUCCCAGUGUAGCGGUGAAAUGCGUAGAUAUUGGGAGGAACACCAGUGGCGAAGGCGGGUCUCUGGGCCGUAACUGACGCUGAGGAGCGAAAGCGUGGGGAGCGAACAGG